rnacentral:rRNA from 1 species
UACGAAGGGGGCUAGCGUUGCUUGGAAUCACUGGGCGUAAAGCGCGCGUAGGCGGCUUCUUAAGUCAGGGGUGAAAUCCUGGAGCUCAACUCCAGAACUGCCUUUGAUACUGAGUAGCUUGAGUCCGGGAGAGGUGAGUGGAACUGCGAGUGUAGAGGUGAAAUUCGUAGAUAUUCGCAAGAACACCAGUGGCGAAGGCGGCUCACUGGCCCGGUACUGACGCUGAGGUGCGAAAGCGUGGGGAGCAAACAGG